UCAUCGGGCUAGUACCGGAAUGUCGCUGGGGGGUCUCAAAUCGUGUCAUGCAUUUACCUCAAUUUCUCGGUUACUAAGGCUCUGUUCGCGAUUAUAUUGACGCCUUAGACGUUCUAGAACAUUGCUCUACCACUUUAACUUGACUUUCUGGUAACCUUUAGUGUCCCUUUAACAUUGCGUGCGCACUUUGGUUUGUAGGCCCACUUUUUUUUCAUCUCAUUCCUUUCUUCGGACCUGCACCCCCAGGUAUGGUGUCUGUAAAAUAUUAUACUUCAGCUUAAACAACAACAGAAAGAAAUAACUGCUGCUUUAUUCAGCGAGCACCAUGUAAAUGCCGAGUGCCGCGACAAACACCCAUAACCAUGCCAGGCUAUAGCAGACGACGCUCGGACGCUUGGCGCGGAGGUCGAUGGCAGCGCUGCGGUGGCGGGAACGACAGCGGGCUAAAUGGUGCGCAUAGGCUAGGAGUUGGGGCACUUAAAGAGGAUCUAUAAACGUUAUUGCGGCGGCCCGGGCGGUCGGUGUGGUACUGAUCGUUUGAUCAUAUUUACGCGGUGCUUAGAGAACAUGUGCUCCUUUUUUUGUGUGGAUUAACGAUCACUAAGCCCUGGGUCCUGUGCAACGCUAUUAACUCGCUGUAUGUUUCUUGCGGUGCGCCGUUGUUGAUUAUCGUAGUGUGGUCCACACGCGCUUUCUUUGUGCCCGGCUCAUGAGAAACUUGUGUACUCUCGCCGCUCCCGCAUCGGGUCACAGUGCACGGAAGAAUGUGCUGAUAGUUGUGCUAUCGCGUGCUGUAGUUCACCGCAAUUCAACACUACGCUGGACGGACUGUUGGUGCAGUCGAUGCGGCGUGAACGGACACGAAGGAGCGCUCGCCUCGGAAGGGAUGUCACAAUUUCCAGAGACGGAGGCAUCUCUGCACCACAAAGGAGACUGCGGCACUAUGCAGCCUGAACAGCACGACAAAGCAUCUGAUCUGCCUGCUUUGACAAGAUGUGGCUGGGCCUACAGAAAGAGUGUAAGCAGACUACUGUGUUGCUGAUCAGUGCUGGUGC
rnacentral:lncRNA from 1 species